CUAUAAUCCGCACUUCCAUUGGGGAGUAGCCGCUCCGCCGUCACCGUCCCGCGCAAUGCGGGAGCCGGAACGCGGAGGCGUACGUCAACAGACUUGACCGCUUGCGGUUAUGGCGUGCGCAGCUUCCGGGACCAGGGCCUGCCAUCCGGCGCGGCCCGUGCCCAGGGCCUGGCGAGACCGAUGACGUCGCUUUUCCGGACAGGGCCGGGGAAG
rnacentral:sRNA from 2 species